rnacentral:rRNA from 1 species
UACGUAGGGUGCGAGCGUUGUCCGGAAUUACUGGGCGUAAAGAGCUCGUAGGUGGUUUGUCGCGUUGUUCGUGAAAACCGGGGGCUUAACCCUCGGCGUGCGGGCGAUACGGGCAGACUGGAGUACUGCAGGGGAGACUGGAAUUCCUGGUGUAGCGGUGGAAUGCGCAGAUAUCAGGAGGAACACCGGUGGCGAAGGCGGGUCUCUGGGCAGUAACUGACGCUGAGACGCGAAAGCGUGGGGAGCAAACAGG